rnacentral:rRNA from 1 species
GCUUGUCUCAAAGAUUAAGCCAUGCAUGUCUCAGCAUAAGCUUCAACACGGUGAAACUGCAAAUGGCUCAUUAAAGCAGUUACAAUUUAUUUGAUGGUCACUGUUACAUGGAUAACUGUGGUAAUUCUAGAGCUAAUACAUGCAUAAAACCCUAACUUCUGGAAAGGGUGUAUUUAUUAGAUGGAAACCAAUGCGGGGUAACCCGGAAUAUGGUGAUUCAUAAUAACUUUCGGAUCGAUUUAUCGAUGCAUCAUUCAAGUUUCUGCCCUAUCAGCUUUGGAUGGUAGGGUAUUGGCCUACCAUGGCUUUAACGGGUAACGGAGAAUUAGGGUUCGAUUCCGGAGAGGGAGCCUGAGAAACGGCUACCACAUCCAAGGAAGGCAGCAGG